rnacentral:tRNA from 1 species
GACCACGUAGCUCAGUCGGCAGAGCAUUGGACUAGUAUUCCAAAGGUCGCGGGUUCGAUUCCCACCGUGGCCA